UACGUAGGGACCAAGCGUUGUUCGGAUUUACUAGGCGUAAAGGGCGCGUAGGCGGCCUGCUAAGUCGAACGUGAAAUCCCUGGGCUCAACCCAGGAACUGCGUCCGAUACUGGUUGGCUUGAAUCCGGGAGAGGGACGUGGAAUUCCAGGUGUAGCGGUGAAAUGCGUAGAUAUCUGGAGGAACACCGGUGGCGAAGGCGACGUCCUGGACCGGCAUUGACGCUGAGGCGCGAAAGCCAGGGGAGCAAACGGG
rnacentral:rRNA from 1 species